rnacentral:rRNA from 1 species
CCUACGGGUGGCAGCAGUGGGGGAUAUUGCACAAUGGGGGGAACCCUGACCCAGCAACGCCGCGUGAAGGAAGAAGGCUUUCGGGUUGUAAACUUCUUUUCUCAGGGACGAAGCAAGUGACGGUACCUGAGGAAUAAGCCACGGCUAACUACGUGCCAGCAGCCGCGGUAAUACGUAGGUGGCAAGCGUUAUCCGGAUUUACUGGGUGUAAAGGGCGUGUAGGCGGGACUGCAAGUCAGAUGUGAAAACCACGGGCUCAACCUGUGGCCUGCAUUUGAAACUGUAGUUCUUGAGUACUGGAGAGGCAGACGGAAUUCCUAGUGUAGCGGUGAAAUGCGUAGAUAUUAGGAGGAACACCAGUGGCGAAGGCGGUCUGCUGGACAGCAACUGACGCUGAGGCGCGAAAGCGUGGGGAGCAAACAGGAUUAGAUACCCGGGUAGUC